rnacentral:rRNA from 1 species
ACCUGUAGUCCAUACCGUAAACGAUGAAUGCUAAGUGUGGAGGGUUUCCGCCUUCAGUGCUGCAGCUAACGCAUUAAGCAUUCCGCUGGGGAGUACGGCCGCAAGGCUGAAACUCAAAGGAAUUGACGGGGGCCCGCACAGCGGUGGAGCAUGUGGUUUAAUUCGAAGCUACGCGAAGAACCUUACCAGGUCUUGACAUACUAUGCAAAUCUAAGAGAUUAGACGUUCCCUUCGGGGACAUGGAUACAGGUGGUGCAUGGUUGUCGUCAGCUCGUGUCGUGAGAUGUUGGGUUAAGUCCCGCAACGAGCGCAACCCUUAUUAUCAGUUGCCAGCAUUAAGUUGGGCACUCUGGUGAGACUGCCGGUGACAAACCGGAGGAAGGUGGGGAUGACGUCAAAUCAUCAUGCCCCUUAUGACCUGGGCUACACACGUGCUACAAUGGAUGGUACAACGAGUUGCGAACUCGCGAGAGUAAGCUAAUCUCUUAAAGCCAUUCUCAGUUCGGAUUGUAGGCUGCAACUCGCCUACAUGAAGUCGGAAUCGCUAGUAAUCGCGGAUCAGCAUGCCGCGGUGAAUACGUUCCCGGGCCUUGUACACACCGCCCGUCACACCAUGAGAGUUUGUAACACCCAAAGUCGGUGGGGUAACCUUUAGGAACCAGCCGCCUAGGGUGGGACAGAUGAUUAGGGUGAAGUCGUAACAAGGUAACCA